rnacentral:rRNA from 1 species
CCUACGGGUGGCAGCAGUGGGGGAUAUUGCACAAUGGGGGAAACCCUGAUGCAGCGACGCCGCGUGGGUGAAGAAGCGCCUCGGCGCGUAAAGCCCUGUCAGCAGGGAAGAAAAUGACGGUACCUGAAGAAGAAGCCCCGGCUAACUACGUGCCAGCAGCCGCGGUAAUACGUAGGGGGCAAGCGUUAUCCGGAUUUACUGGGUGUAAAGGGAGCGUAGACGGCGAUGCAAGUCUGGAGUGAAAGCCCGGGGCCCAACCCCGGGACUGCUUUUGAAACUGCGUGGCUGGAGUGCAGGAGGGGGAAGCGGAAUGCCUGGUGUAGCGGUGUAAUGCGUAGAUAUCAGGAGGAACACCGGUGGCGAAGGCGGCCUACUGGACUGCAACUGACGUUGAGGCCCGAAAGCGUGGGGAGCAAACAGGAUUAGAUACCCUGGUAGUC